UGACACAACCUCAAAAGAUAAAGAAAUGCAAAGUCUGAUCAUGUGCUAUAGCUCGCUUGUGGUUGUUUAAAGACUCCAACCUGACCUGAAUGGCAGGUAAAGAAACCCAACCCCUGGGAGCAAAGUUAUGUGACCACCCCACUCUCUCCUCUUCAAAUUCCUGACACAGAGACUCUAAAGAGCACCUCAGCAUGGCAGUCAGGGAUUGAGAAGCCAAGUCCUGAUGUCUGCAGUGCCCAGCUCUGAAGAGGUUUCCUGGCUCAUGGGGAUGGCCUCUUGAGGUGGGAACUGUCCAGCCCCCGUCUUCCCUGCAGAUGUUUCACCACUCCUCCGUGAAGAAGAGGAAGAAGUCAAAAUCACAUGCGGAAAUUUCCCAGGUGCCACAGAUGAUGUGGCCAGAAGGAUGACCUCCUCUCGGGUCUCUGAAAAUCAAGGCACCGUUCUAAGUAUACAUGUAUUAACCAAUUAAAAACAUGCAUGAGGAGGCCAGCCCAGUGGCGUAGUGGCCACGCAUUUGACUUAUACUUGAACCUAGACAUUUUUCACUGCAGAGAAACUAUUUCAUUUAUUUCCUACUCCUCACCCCUGAAGAACCACUGAUGCUCCUCUGCACAUACCAGGUGCUUCGCAAGGGCUGAAUUGGCUAUGUCCUCAUAGGAAGGAAGGAUUCCUUGCUUUCCUGGGCAGUGUCAGUGAGUGGCUGGGCUUGACCACCGGCCCAGCAGCAACUCUGCCUGUGUGAGCCUUGCCUUGGCUUACAGAAUAUUCAGCCUGCAUUGCAGUCACCUGGUC
rnacentral:lncRNA from 1 species